CCACCUCAAGCCAAUCAAAAGGCACCGUGAUCGGGGGAGGGAUAUGGGAGGAGGGUUCAAGGGUCUAUCCGGCGGGCCCCGGCCAAUGAGGAGGCGGCCCAUGGAGCGUGUGGGUUCUAGCUGCGCGAGAGGAGAAACGUGCCCUUCCCGCGCGGCAGCGAAGGGAAGAUUGUAAUGCGCGCGCAGGCUGUGUCGAGGGGGUGCUUGGGUUCAGGUGGUCAUGUGAUUGUGGAGUCAACUGCGCAUGCGCCGAAGGGGGCCUGCCUAAGCAGGAGAGUUAAGUCAUGGCUGGUGGAGCUAGUAUCGCCUCAUCCUCCCCUCCCCCAGCCCCUCAUUCCCGCGUGGCAUCUGCCUCCAGCUACUCAACGCUUCAUAGGAACCCCCUCACCCUCAGUGGGGCAAUGCCCCCCUCACUGGUAUAGGGCCUCCCAUCUCCCCACUUUCAGUAGGACAGGUCCCUCCCCCCUUCCUCGGGGACUGGUCCCCUAUCGUCCCUCCCUGCCCCAGCCCAGGUCUUACCCCCUAUUAGGCUGUCUCUUCACUAGCCGAAAGUGCAUCCUUGACCCCAGGCUACCUGCUGCGGGGUAGCGAGCCUGCUGUAACUCCUAGUAGAGACGAGGCACUAGGGUCUUUACAACUAGGUAGCUAGAGGAGUUGGACCACAGGCCGGGGUAUAGUGCUGAACGCGCCUAGCUCCAUGGGGAAAACAACAAAAUCCACUACACUUGCCCAGCUGGGAAAAUCACCUUUUUGUGGUGAAGACAAAGCCGGAGUGGGACAGGAUUCUUCCUCCUGCACCCGUAUGUGCUCUUUUGCCUGUCAGCCAUUAAAGCAAUGUCACUCCACUUCCCCUCUGCUGAACGUCAGGAACUUAUUUAUUAAAUUAGCAUUUGCAUAUUUGCCAGGCAAUAGCAUUCUUAGUGGCCAAGUGGAGCUCUUGGAGCUCACUGCAGAAUUUGGUUAGCAAGCGUUCCUCGACAAUGCAUAUUAUUGUUUGAUCUGCCCCACAGCUUGGAUUGUCUCGAAGACCCCAAUGGUGCUGGUUGGCUGCACGAAGGCCUUGCCCGGUCCAGAAUCAGUUAACAAAGACCCACUGACAACAUGGCAUGUCAAAGCCAGAUGGCAUGUCAUACAUCCAGACUGGAGGUACUACUCGGCUGAAUCAGCUAACGUUUCUACAGCACUUUGAUAAUGUGAAGCAGCGCCCGUGAGGCCCUCGUCAAUCAGGAUCUGACGGACUGGGAACUGUGGUAAGAGAGUGGCCCAUUACAGACAGUUGACAAGAAGGUGUGAGUAACCAUCGGGAGAAAUUAGUAUUGGAAAAAUCUCUUACCACUU